GAGGGUAUAGCUCAGUGGUAGAGCACGUGCUUAGCAUGCACUAAGUCAUGGGUUCAAUCCCUAGUACCUCCA
rnacentral:tRNA from 1 species